UCGGUGCAGCCCGUUGGGAGCAGGGGUGUGCCGCAGACUGGUCCCGCCCCUGCCUCUGAGUGACAGGACCGUGGACAGCAGCAUUUCCAGCCGGACACGAAGUUUGUCGGCCCUUGCCUUGGCUGAGCUAAGGUUUAUUGUAUAAAUCUCCAAGACGGAAGCUUGUACUGCUUGUUAACACUGGGAAGAACCUUGGCCUUAAGAAAAAGCAACCACGAGCAUUAUUAUUGGUAUCUGGAAUUGAAUUUGCCAGGAAGGCAAAGACGGCUUCUUCAGUAAAGAUCUUGCCUUUGGAGACAUCUUCCUGUUGGCAGCUCUCCAGAGUUCAGACUUGGCAGCAUCAAGGACACAACACAAGGUAAACAAGAUUAUAAAAAAACCAAACCUAUUUUACGAGCAACCAAAUUAAAAGCAGAAGCAAAGAAAACAGCAAUAGGCAUAAAGGAAGUUGGCCUCGUACUUGUGGCUCUAUUAGCCCUCCUACUGGCUUUCUAUGCUUCCUUUUAUCUCAGACUGUCCACAGAUGUUGACCCUGAUCCGAAACCAGAUGAAGAUUAGCUGAGCAGCAAUCAGUGCAUUAAAGGGAAAUAACGUUAUAAAAGCACCCUUUGGGACCAAGGUUUUCUAAAGUACUGAAACUGGUACAUCUUGAAUUCUUUCUGCUGGUAUUUUUAGUUUUCAGAAGUAUCUUUUUAAAUAAAGAUUUUUUUAUUGCUUUUUA